GAGUUUGAUCCUGGCUCAGAUUGAACGCUGGCGGCAGGCCUAACACAUGCAAGUCGAACGGUAACAGAAAGCAGCUUGCUGCUUUGCUGACGAGUGGCGGACGGGUGAGUAAUGUCUGGGAAACUGCCUGAUGGAGGGGGAUAACUACUGGAAACGGUAGCUAAUACCGCAUAACGUCGCAAGACCAAAGAGGGGGACCUUCGGGCCUCUUGCCAUCGGAUGUGCCCAGAUGGGAUUAGCUUGUUGGUGGGGUAACGGCUCACCAAGGCGACGAUCCCUAGCUGGUCUGAGAGGAUGACCAGCCACACUGGAACUGAGACACGGUCCAGACUCCUACGGGAGGCAGCAGUGGGGAAUAUUGCACAAUGGGCGCAAGCCUGAUGCAGCCAUGCCGCGUGUAUGAAGAAGGCCUUCGGGUUGUAAAGUACUUUCAGCGGGGAGGAAGGGAGUAAAGUUAAUACCUUUGCUCAUUGACGUUACCCGCAGAAGAAGCACCGGCUAACUCCGUGCCAGCAGCCGCGGUAAUACGGAGGGUGCAAGCGUUAAUCGGAAUUACUGGGCGUAAAGCGCACGCAGGCGGUUUGUUAAGUCAGAUGUGAAAUCCCCGGGCUCAACCUGGGAACUGCAUCUGAUACUGGCAAGCUUGAGUCUCGUAGAGGGGGGUAGAAUUCCAGGUGUAGCGGUGAAAUGCGUAGA
rnacentral:rRNA from 1 species